rnacentral:rRNA from 1 species
AGAGUUUGAUCAUGGCUCAGAGCGAACGCUGGCGGCAGGCUUAACACAUGCAAGUCGAGCGGGCCCUUCGGGGUCAGCGGCGGACGGGUGAGUAACGCGUGGGAACGUGCCUUCUGGUUCGGAAUAACCCUGGAAACUAGGGCUAAUACCGGAUACGCCCUUUUUGGGGAAAGGUUUACUGCCGGAAGAUCGGCCCGCGUCUGAUUAGCUAGUUGGUGGGGUAACGGCCUACCAAGGCGACGAUCAGUAGCUGGUCUGAGAGGAUGAUCAGCCACACUGGGACUGAGACACGGCCCAGACUCCUACGGGAGGCAGCAGUGGGGAAUAUUGGACAAUGGGCGCAAGCCUGAUCCAGCCAUGCCGCGUGAGUGAUGAAGGCCUUAGGGUUGUAAAGCUCUUUUAUCCGGGACGAUAAUGACGGUACCGGAGGAAUAAGCCUCGGCUAACUUCGUGCCAGCAGCCGCGGUAAUACGAAGGGGGCUAGCGUUGCUCGGAAUCACUGGGCGUAAAGGGCGCGUAGGCGGCGUUUUAAGUCGGGGGUGAAAGCCUGUGGCUCAACCACAGAAUGGCCUUCGAUACUGGGACGCUUGAGUAUGGUAGAGGUUGGUGGAACUGCGAGUGUAGAGGUGAAAUUCGUAGAUAUUCGCAAGAACACCGGUGGCGAAGGCGGCCAACUGGACCAUUACUGACGCUGAGGCGCGAAAGCGUGGGGAGCAAACAGGAUUAGAUACCCCGGUAGUCC